rnacentral:rRNA from 1 species
AUGCAUUAUAACUUCGCGAGUACUCUGAAACAUAAGAGACAUGAGAUAUUAGUUGAAAAUCUGAUUGCAUCUCUUGAUGUUGAAGAGAAAGCUCGGGCUAAAGACACUAUUGAGAAAAGAGGUGAGGUUCAACCUACUGACCUAGGGAACAAGAACAAAGGGAAGAACAAGCCUAUUUUCGACAAGCCUGUCAAGACUACUACCGUCAAGAAGAAGUUCAACAAGGUUGAGUUAGAGUGCUACGCCUAUGGGAAGCCCAGACACUUUUCCAAGGAAUGCCUAGACUGUGCAGACCGCAAAGGGAAAACGAGCUCCAAGACUGACAACAUGGUGACCGCUAGCAAUACUGAUGGCUCUCAAGGGAUUCUUCCGUCCUAA